UUCCACUCCGAGGAGAGCUUCUGGGAGAAACCGGCAGGAAGGACACGAGACACCAGGAAAGUUGAGAUACAAAUGCUGGUGAGGCCAGCUAACUGGAAGAACUCAAGGGAGUCACUAAGUAUUGGUGCAAACUAAUAAAAAGAAAAACCACUGAUAGGACAUGGUGUGCAUUCUUUACUAGCCUGAAAAACCCUAAGGAUUACACAGGUCAGGAGGUCACCCCUGCGUGUCUGCAAACACACAGACCUCGGCAGAUAGCAGUGUGGCGCAGGGACCAUCUGCCAAGCUGUGCUCCGCGUACGCGCACAGACACCCUGGAAGAGUAAAGAAACAAGCUUCUUGUCUGAUUCAGGAUGUUGCUCAUGCUCAGUCAGACCUGCCUGACACAGCCACAGUGGCUUUUCUGGAAAACUGACAUCUCAAGUAGCCUCAUAUGGGAGGUGUCUCCAGACCCAGCCGGCAUCUUCAGGGUAAUUAUUGUUGUUACCAUGUACGGGGGGUUUCCAAGUGUUAGGCACAUUUCAGGCUCUUUGUUUAUAUUAUUCCUGAUCUGUACAAUAAUGUAAGAAACUAUUUUAUCUCCAUUUUCCAGAUGGAGAAAUGGAGGUUUUGGAAGACUGGGCAUGCUGGUAAGUGGUAAAGCUGAAACCGGAACCCAACUGUCUGGGCCACAUGAGCAUAACAAGGGCCAGACACACACUGUCCACUUCCUGUGGGCUGUGCUGGGCCACCACUCAAUCCUGGCAUCCUGUUCCACAGCAAGGAAGCCACAGUGGUCGCUCUUACAGGGGUGUCUCUAGGCUGGGCCUUAGAGACGUUAGAGGAGGCUCUUCAUCUGAUGUCAGGCUCAUGCCUGACUUCACAAUUGAGUGCGGAAGGGCUGAGUGGAAUGACAGGUCUGCCCAGCAGCUAGCAGGGGGGUGGGCGUGUGCCUGGUAGGGCUCCGCUGUAAUGACUCUCCAUUAGGCCCAACCAGGUAAGAGCUCACACAUCAUUUCAGUGAGGGCUGAUCAAAAGAGAAGGGAGUAAGUCAACUUCCUUGAAAAAUCCUUUCUUGGGGGUGACUGGAAGAAAGAAAACUGCUCUCUGGUUUGUUAUCUCUUACUGGUAAGAAAUCCUAGCAAGAGACUCUUCCCAGUGUUCAGAUUCUGCCCCUAAAUCUCUCAGCAAUUGACUCUGGUUGGCAGUGGCCAAGUAUCGUUCUAAAACCAGAGAAACAGAGUGAUUCUCAUUUUGGGGGACGGAGAUGACAGGCAGCAUGACAGAAAUCUUAGAUGGUGAGCAAACCAGGAAGAAAGGGUUCAGGGCCAAGCUCAUUGUUAGCAGGAUUAGAACAGCUCAGGUAGCUGUGAGGGGCAGGUGGGAAUACCACAGUUUGAGAUGGUAGGGCAGCCUAGGGCAGGGGCUAACAGCCCAGGGUCUGCAGACAGACCUGGAUUCAAACUCUGCCCAUCCAGGCAUGAGAGAUCAGGCCGUUACUGAAUGGAUAUAGUACUUCCUCUGUAAAGGGCAGAUGAUCAUAAGAAGAGCUUCAUCAGGUUCUCGUGGGGAGAAAAUCACAGUGCCUGGCCCAUAAUACACAGUUUAUCAAAUGUCCUGAUUAUGAGAUACCAGUAUAUUAUAUGCAGAAGCUACCGAGUAAUUGCAAAAUCACUUUGUAGAAAUGUUCAAGAAGCAGAAAAAUCAAUCAGGGUAUGAGUCUGUCGCCACAAUCAUUUCAGAGGUUUUGAAAUGAUCCCCGUGUAGACAUGGCCUGAUGGCUGUAGGUCGAUCUUGGGAUUUAAAACCCUGAGCAGGGCCCCUGAGCCCUGCAAGACACAGGAGGACUCUGUCCUGCACUACUUCCCCCUUUCUCCCGGGAUGUGCAUGCUGUUGCCCCAACAAGGUGGGUGUGACAGCUGCAGAAGCAGGUGAAAAGGGGGACGGGAGCUACUCACCGCUCGGUACUUGACCAGGUAGUGCCUGAUGGGGGAGCCGCCGUCAUCCUGUUUGAUCAGAUUCACCUUAAUAGAGUUUCCAUCCUCUCCCAUCUGCCCUUCCAGUUUAGGUGCACUGGGUUCCCCUGCAACAGCCAGUUAAUUCAUGUGACAUAUUCGCCCACACGAAGAAAAUCCAACCCAGAAUGGGAUGGAGUGAUGGGGUGGGGCUGGGCUCUUUCUUGCUUUCUCAGAAAUUCAAAUGGUUAAAAAGCAAUAAAUAUAAAACUUCAGAUUCCAGUGAGAUACCUCAGACUUAGCCCCAAACUGGGAGUGACUUUUGGGAAUGUUCUGGGAAACCCUAUUAGCACAGUCCUUUUACCAUUUUAGAAACAGGAUUUUUUAAAAACUGUUUCUCACUGGUGCUUGCAUUUCCUUUUUGCUGUUCUUACAACUGCAGAUUUAACUUUGAUGAGCCUGAUGCAUUUUGAGGAACAGCCUGAAAUGCAGGCAAAUGUGCGUAAGUGUUUAAAGGAGAAAACCUACACCCAUAAAAUAAUUCUUCACAGCAGCCAGUUUCUUCCCUGGAUACGUGAUUCAUCUCAGGGGGCUGGGGGACCCAUCCCUAACGGGGACGGAAUGACACUGCAUUCUUGUGACCAGCUUUCCAUGAGUUAAAUUGCAUUACUUAGACUCAUUCAUAUAAAAACGUGACAAGUUUCCAGGUGUGAUUAAAUAAAGCACAAUUUGCCACGGGCAAGUCUCCCCUGUAAGCAUCCUGCAUUUACGGCUCAACUGCCUGAGUGAUAAUCCUUGGUACCUUGUUUAAAGUAACAAUCAUGAAAGUCUUUCUGUUUGUGAGCAGAGAGAGGGAAAAAAUGGCUUCAGCAUUUCUCAACAGAAAAAAGUCGAUGUCUCUACCUGUGGUAUACACUCAGCUCGUGAACCCGAGACAGAGGAGGAAGGUGAGCUCGGUACGGACGAAUUACCAGAGGUGGGAUGCUUCUUCAGUAAAUAAGAUGCCGACUUUCUUUAAGAGAAACUGUCUCACUAGUGUGUACUGGGAGUAAUGAGGUAAGAGAAUGUCUGGUAUGAAAAGUUAAAAUGAAGACUUAACGCAUUUGGGAAUUCUGCACUUCCUUCAGAGACACACAUCUCUGUGUCUAUUUCAUGUCCUCAGACAGAAAAUUGGGAGAGCCUACAAGAAGUCACCUUCUGGGAGGGUUGUCCUGGCUCGUUCACUGGAAGACAGAAUCACAGACAUGUAACCAAAGAACCCAGAAAGGUUUGUCGCCAGGCUUUGGACCUCAUCACCCCAAGGUAUACCUCUGGCCAUUUGUGGCAAGGCUGCUGGCAAAGCCAUUCAGCCCACCUUCCUCAUUCAGCUACUCUGGGAACCUCACAGUGGCCUUGUGUCUUGCUCCCCACUUUGAGACAAGGAGGAACCAGACAGGGAAAGCUAUUGGCCAGCCCUUGCUGCUCAGCCUGGGCCUGUAGCACGAACCCCACGUGGCAGCUCCUUAGACAUGCAGAUUCCGUUUCAACAAGAUCCCAAGGUGAUCCUUGUGCACCUUUAGGUGAUGGGGACACACAGAAGCUGACAGGGAAGGUGCAUCCCCUUAAUGUCAGGGGUGAUUUAGGAAGUCAGGCUUGUAAUUGGUGUUCCUCCAUCAGCAAUUAAAAAAAAAAAGACAAAGAAAAAAAUGACAAGGUUUUAGGCAAGGUUUUAGGCAAAGACUUGUCCUGUUUUCAUGUUGCUACCCAGCUGCUGGUCCCAACUAUUCUUUGGAAAAUUCUGAGGAAUUUGGUUUCGAUAAUGUUAAGGCAGGUAUGCUUUUCAGAUUCUUUUGGACCAUCCUAAGCCUUAGACAACAGUUGUGUCUUAUAUCAUUGUAAAUAUCCAGGGCUAGAAAGGAACUCAAACAAAGUGGAGGAUAUUUCAGAACCGGGCAGGUCUACACAGUCACAGAUGGCAGGAGUAGGCACAGUUGAACUGGAUAGCUCUGUUCUCUGAAUGCAGGGGACAGACUGGUUCUGGCUGGCCUGGGACUUCCAGGUGUGAGCCUCACAAGUCCUGCACUCAGGCUGACUGGGAGAGCUCACGGCCCCAGACUGAAUGGGGAUGGACAUUAACGAGGACUUUUGUAUUCAGAAUUGCAACACUGACUCUGUGAUGCUCGAUUUGCCUUAAGGAGGGAAGGCAGUGGCAUCAGUGGCCCUGCCAACACAGUCAUGGGGCGAGGACCCGGUCCUUACCCCAAAGCUUCCUUGGAAGGUAAACGGAGAUUAAUCUGCUGGGGCUGCUCUGGCUGCACUUUCCUUAUGAUUUCCUUCCAGAUUUGAGCAGCGUGGGUUUCAAGGCUGAAUCAAGACCACAGAACACUGGACCCUGCUUUGGGAGUGGGUGGGGGGUUUGUAUCUACUUAGAAGAGGUACUCCCUUUCAUGUCUGUGGGGAUCCCUGUAAAACUGAAUGCUUGGACAGGCCACUGCCUCAGUACCCACGUUUGCAGAAUCCAUGCCCCGAACGAGGUGUUCUCCAGGGCCCCCCUCUGGCUCUGACAGCACUGUGACCCAAUGACAGUCACUGUGUUAGGACAAACUAUCAAGAACACCUUGGCUAUUUUCAAAACACUGUGAAAGACAGAUGCAAAAUAAGGAUGGCCCUGCCAAUUUCGGGGCAAUGUAUCCCCAGACCAGCAAUUCCACAUCUCUAAGGCACAGGGUUGUCCGUUUUUCUUUACAAUUUUAAAAGUUAUCCUCCCCAAAGUCCUAUCUUUGCAAAGAGACCCCAACUGUCUUCAGAGACAUGGGAACAAAUAUCUUGCCAAGGAUUCCCUGCAGAAACUAACAGCCCCGAUGAAAGCAGUCAAAUCUUAUCUUUGGAUGUGUUUCAGAAAAAAUAUGAUUGGAACCACAAAGAAACCACUAACAACUAUUCCACAGAACACAGUUCUAACAUUUACCAAAGUUGGAACACUAUCAUUGCUAUUAUAUUGGAGCGACUACCAUGUUAUUCUGAUAUACGUGUAUUUCUUUCUUACAGAAUGUAGAGCAUGGCAUAUAAUAUUUACAUGUAUCAUUUAAAGUGCUUUAACUAUGAUUUACUCAACAAACGUUUACGGAGUACCUACCUCCCAGGUACCAGAUAAUCUCUUAGGCAUUGGAGUUUCAAAGGUAAACAAGACAAAGUUCGGUUUGUCAAAAGAAAAGAAGAAACCUAGUUAUGCUCAACUCUUUUUAAAAAUGGCGGGGCCCUUGUACGGAAAGGUAACCCUUCCUGUGACGGUGUUUCUAGAGGAAGAUGACCUUCAACUAACAUCAGAGGGAUUCUGACCAACUCUACACAACUUGUAGUCACAUAAAGGUGGAGAAAGAGCAAUAUUUAAACAAUUGUCUUCUCCAUCUUCAAAUGCACACACUCUGUCCAUUUUUCUCAAGAUUACGAAUAGGCUAAAGGAAUUGCUUCCUGAGCUGUCGGCGAAAAGGAGACUCUAGCCAUACCUGAUGAGGGAUGGGCUGACCCGGAAGAAAUGGGGCCUUGGCAUUUGGGUGGCUCACUGCUUUGCUGAACACAUUAGGAGAGGAAAUUAUUUAGAGGGUCCCAAUGUGCACUCUGUUCUGAAAUGGCUGCCCUGAUUGAAAUCAUUAUGGGUAAUUUCCGCAAAACCAAUAUUGUAAUUAUUUGUAAAUGUUGGUUUGCGAUUCAGCAGCAAUCGGCAGGUUGCUCCAAGAAAACCCCUGCGGUUAAUUACACCUUCUGAAUUUAGCUUCAGCCAUGAGUCAAAUUUUGCCCCCAAAUAUUUCACGUAAAGACUCAAAACAACAUCACCUUAAAAAUAAGCCUUGCCGAUAACAAAUACAAAAUAUUAGGCAACUCUGGUAUUUUCUAGAAGAGUGCAAAUCACGGAUGCAAGAAAAGAAGAAUGUACCAUUGAGACCACAUACAGUCAGAAAUGUGGCAGGCUCGUCCUAUAAAUUCCUCCCAGAAAUCGUAAUUGAAGUGUGUAUUUCUGGCCUUGCAGAUUGUAGGUUCUUUGUAAUUUGUGUGCUAUUGUGCCCUAAAAUCUGAGUCAGCUUCAAUUCCUUCCCCUCGUCAGCACAAGUCCGGAGGUCAGAAAACUACUGCUGGGUACCUGAAUUCCACAACAGAAAUUAUAGCAGGCUUAGGGGGUCUGGACAGCAUCUGUGAAUUUUAGAAGGAAAACAAUCUUCUACUUCUUACUCAAAAACGCCCAAGUACCAAGAAGUAUACCUUCUGACUGAAAUGCCGAGGUGCCCCGUGGCAUCCCUGACAGAGGCCUGACCUGCAUUCUUUUUACCUGACCUUUGCUUUCUCUCCCACAGGGACCUGCACAGACUUCGGGGCCUCUGAGUAUAAACCAGUGAUGGAGAUAGGGCUUGCAUUAGAAUCUAUCACAUUUUCCAUCAAUCAGGAUUGUCUGGCAUCAAAAAUACUGUUACUUUUGUUUAUCUUAACUCCUGUUCCCCUUUGGUCCAUUACACCCUGCAAGCAAUGUGAAACUUACGUAUGCCUUUUCUAUUAUUUGUUUAGAAGAGUACAAAAUGUAUGACUUGGCUGUUCAAGUAUGAAGCCCAUUUGAUUUUUCCCAACUCAGGAACAUUCGAAAUUACAUCAAGAGGUUAGACGUUUGAUCAGCCUUAGGAUCUGUAGCUAUGAGGCUGCUGAUUGUCCUUCCUAAGACCAGGCUCUUUGCCGAACAGAUGAAUCUAGUGGGAUCUGUGCUGCUUUCAUCCUUGGAGCCUCAAACGCUCUGGGACGCCCCCUGUGACAACCCGCCUGGCUGAGGGGGCUUUCUGACAGUCCCGGCGAGCGGCUGUCAGUCCGAACAUACCCAACCCUGGACGGGGUUCAUUCUGUCCUAAGCAUUGCUCCUCCAGAUCGGGCCUGGGGAAUAAAUGCUCCUUUUCUCCUGAGCUCUUUCCUCCUUGUUGUCAAGAAUAUGCUUGUGCCAGUGCCAGCUGACUAACUGCCAUCCUGGUCUCCGGCUCCAAGGAACGCCAAGGGAUGCAGGGAGUGCAUAUAAGCCAUGGCCAAUUCCUUGGCUCUCCACAGAAAGGACGCGUAGCCCUGUGGCCACGCUCACGGGGGCAUCCAGCCUACACAUCUCUCUCAAAUCGGGCUCCUCAGGAACUACGAACGUGAGCGUGUGAGCUGGGGGUGGGUGGGGAGGCCAGUGGCAGGAAGGGAUAUGAACUGAACAGCAAAAGAUGAACUCUGACAGACUGAACCACAGAGAUAUCAAUUCCCUUCUCGUGGGUGUCAUGAAAACACCACCAGAUUAGCUGAUCAAUUAUCUCUGUUUCAUCAUCAUCCUAAAAAUGAAAAUAGGACCAAGAAAGUAUGGCUUGUGGUUAUGGGGCUGAUCCAGGCUGAGGAAGUUAGGACCCAAAUAACCUCCAACAAUUAACUCGGCUCCCGCCUGCGAGGCCGCCAAGGGGAGUCUGUGCACAUCUUCAACACGAUUUCACGGACAUUAGGUUACUUAUAAAGAAGUACAAAGCUCCUGGGAAGCCCUAGGGAAACGGGCCCUUUGCAGAGCCCCCGGCCUCUGCCCCCAGGAUUCGGGCCGACACGCUUCACUGCCUCCCCUCUGCAGACCCUUCACGCUAGCUCUCUACCCUGUAACCGCCAGUGCGGGGAAUCCUUAAGAAUAAAGGCAAUUAGAGCAGAGCCCUGGUGAAAAGUCUGUGUCGACCUGCCAGAGACCGUGGCAAUCCAGACACACAGCUGUAAAAAAAAUAAAUAAAUAAAUAAAGGAAGGAGUGGAAGGGGUGGUUAGUGAUGUUUUCAAUCUAAGAAGGAAGAGUGGGUGUUAAGGAGCUUAGUUCACCAGAAUCAGCAUGUCCUAGUACGAGAGGCAGUGUCAGUAGCUAAAGAAAAGAAGAUCAUUAUGAAUGGGGGGGGGGGUGAUCCAUGCUAAAACAUGCAGCACACAGAGGGGCGCAGGGGGCUUCUCAUCACACACAUGCUGGCGGUGGGGAGGGUGGGGAGGCCCGUUUACUUACACAGAGUCCUCAUAGGUGACAGAGUCAUUGGAGGAAGGAGGCCCGGCCACGACGAGGUGCCGUGAUAUUAAAAAUCAACUUGGCACGGGAGCAUCUUAGCUCACCACAGCAACCCCACUCCUGGGAUCCUGGGACAGGUGCCUAAGUUUCCCCAUCACGAACCCCUAUUUGCAAAGCUCUACAGGUUCAGGACUAAGGGAGCCAAGGGCAUGGCGUCCAAUGCCUGUUUUCACCUCCCUUCUGACCCCGUGCUGCCGAACCCAGUCAACACUGUGGACGGGAACCUGAGAUUUACACAACACGCAGCCUGUGUCAAGGGCAUCCUAGAGCUAGUGUGUGUGUGUGUGUGCGUGUGCGUGCGCGUGUGUGGAGGGGGCAGUGGUGGAACAGGAACUGGAUUUCAUCACCUGUCGGAUGUACACCCCUCUGCUGGGAGAUGCACCUGCUCACUUACCCAUCCUCAGGCCCCACUCACCUGAAAGCCUUGCUAGUGUUCAGAGAAAGGAGGCAAGCACUGUUUUUCACGAAGCUUCAUUUCUCUCCGUGAAUUUUACUCGCUACGACCCUCUCCAGUCCCUUAAAUUGUAUUAUUAAGGGCCAUUUCUGGCUGCUUGCUGCUCAUCUGAAUAAUGAGUCCUCCGCCUGUCCCUUUGCAAAUGCACUGGCCACAUUUUUACUGACACCCAAGACCAUUGCUACAGUGCAUUUCUGAGGCAACCGCAGGAAACAUCUUCAAACAUUUCUUGCCUGGCUUAGAAUGUCUGGAAGAGAUCUCUGUCCAGAGGGGUGGAUCUGUUUCAACCUUGCUCAUGUUGUACUCUGCUUCGUCCUGAAUUCUAGCACUGCACAGAAAUAACCAAACUUGUUUUUAAGAAAGAAACGAAUGGGUUUCAACCCAACACCUCACCCUUCAGAUCUCAGGGAGAAAAUCCGGGUUUUCCCUUGGAACAGUCAUCUCAAGUCUUUAGAAGAACACAGUCCCCCUCAGAGAAAUAAUGAAACCACAGGAUGUGGAGUGAGACUCGGGAGUUUAGAAAAUCUUAGGCUCCCAGUAUCCCCUACCCUAAGGUUCACAGAUUAGGUUGCCUUUUGAAGGUAGGUCAAAGUCAUUAGCACGUCAGAUGUUCCCCUGCUUUGGGGACACACCCACUUAAUUUCAGACAGCGUAAAUACCACACAUCUUUUUGGAAGUGACAGACGGCUCCAACCCAAGACCUCGUCCAGGAGUCUGGUUGUAAACGGGACUCAACAUGGGCACAGUGACCACACCCAGAAAGCUGACAUCCUCAGAGGUGGUCAGUGUGCAGGAUGAGCAAGAGGGAGCAUCCACAGGGCUCACACGCACAGGGGCACAAAAUGAGAGGACAGACCAGGAACAGAGAACAUGCAUGCAACAGCUAUGGAUGGUUUUGUCUGUGUGAAUGUCGCCCAGUCAGUUCCUUGGAGACGUGAGGCCAGACGGGGACCCCUCGCAUGCACGGGCACACUGGGCGGUUAUUCGUGUUAGUCUGGCUUUCGUGAUCAGUGCAGCCUGUGUGUCUCAGGUUGUGAUGUGACGUAACAAUUUUCAGUUAGAAGAGAACAGAAUGCAUGUGACUCCCAGGGCAGGUUUUGAAUAGGUGUUUGAUUUUACAGUGGGGAAGUUGCAAGCAGAGGCUUCCUUUUCUCUUUAUGGUAAACGAGAAAUGUUUUCACAGGGUUGUGACAGUCACAAUAUUAACUAAUUAUUUUGUCACGGCUAUGCGCUUAAUUAGGCUAUAAUUUUAUUUCCUUUGCUGCAAGGGUCAAUCAUGUGCUUCUUGAUUACAAAGAGAUCUCCAGUCAUGGUUAACUGCCAACUUUUGCUUUGAUUUCUAACCCCCACUGUCCAGGGGGGGAGGGUCACUCUUAAAAAGUGACACAUCAACAAUGCAAACUGCUUUCAUUCCAAAUUCUUAAAUCUCUCCCUUCAGAAAGUCCUCAAUUUGCAUGAAUUUUAUGAAGCACUCUCAUUGGUUUUGAGCAAAUAGAACCUUUGCAAUUGAUACACUUCUCUCUGUAGCAUUUCAGUGUUGUAAACAGAUACAUUUCACAUUUUCACAGAAAUGACUCAUUUUAGAGCAGCUGUGGUUUUCAGAACUACUGGAUAAAGUUAAACAACAAUGUCAUAAAGGUCACUGAAAAAAACCGCUUUCUGGGAAGUAAUUUUUAUGAACUCUCUGGUAAAAAUUCAAGUUUGCAAACUGUGUGGUGGUAAAUGUGGUUUUGCUGUGGAUGGCAGUUUGUAGGGCCAAGUUUCUUGGAGCGAAAUGUUAAACCAAAGCCUGCCACGGUAUCAAAUUGUCAUGUCAAGGCUGCAAAGAAUUGAUGGAUUCUAGAGGUGAACUGAGAACAAGAGGAAAUCUUUCAAAUGGCUUCGCUUGGGAAAUCUGAGACGGGAAGAAAUGAGUGGGCCCUAGGUGCCAGGCUGCGGUCCCAGGUUUAUUUCCCUAAUCAGAACAAAGAGUUUUACCUUCUGUUCACCAGCGUGGACGACAUCAUCAGCACCAUGCAAGCCACAUGACAAAGUCACAUGAUACGCACGCACAUGAUUGGUUGAAAGGAAAGUGGAGGAGGUCACAUGGAAAAUACAAAAAAAUUAAAAACUGAUGUAAACAAUGGGCAGGGAGAAAAAUCAACAACAAAAUCACAGACUAAAUAAAAGGAGAAAUCAAAUUAAAUUAGCAGCAUAUAUAGGAAACAUUGGGAGGACAGUAAAACUGCCCAGAAAUAGAAGGAUAAUAAAUCGUAAAGAGCAUUUGGUUAACGACACCAAUAAGCAUUAGAUACGGCUGCAACACUGCAUAUUAAUACCACAUCAAGGAGUAUGUAAACUUAUUUGGAAAUAGGGAGGUGUUUCUGCCGGGACCCAGAUGUCAAAGUCAAUCCAGGAGACUGCUGAAGGAAAAAAAAAAAAAAGCAAGUUAUUAUUCACAGAUUCCAGAAAUCUCUCGGCAUCCUUGGGAAACAAGGGCAAUCAAGGAGAACAUGGGUCGUGCAGGAGAAGUCUCCAGACUGUGUGUCCUGUAAGAACAAAAUAUUACGUUACACUGAGAAAAGCCAUUGCCUGUUUCCUUUGGUGCAUGAGGAGAGGGGGAGUGGGCGCAGGCCAGAGGAGGCAGCCCUGGGGAUUCCCUCCUCGCUUUCCAGUUCAUCUACCCGCAUUAUCCCGGAGCUCCCAGUGACAGCCCCGUUGAGACACCUGUGAAGGCAGAGGCUAGUCAUUGCACAAAGGGACGAGGUUUCCUUCUGGUGGUCAAGACAGUGGCUCCAUCAACACUGAGGAGCGAAACUGAAUGGACCCCCUGGCCCCACGAGCUAAGACUCUGACCCUGACCAAGUGCUUGGGCAUUGGUGGACAUAGUUAUCUCUCCAGACUUGUGGCUGCACUUGAUAAGAUAUGGAUUUGAUUGUGAUCAUUAAAAAAAAUGUUUGGA